rnacentral:rRNA from 1 species
GGUGGUUAGCGGCGGACGGGUGAGUAACACGUGGGCAACCUGCCUGUAAGACUGGGAUAACUUCGGGAAACCGGAGCUAAUACCGGAUAAUCCUUUUCCUCUCAUGAGGRAAAGCUGAAAGWCGGUUUCGGCUGUCACUUACAGAUGGGCCCGCGGCGCAUUAGCUAGUUGGUGAGGUAACGGCUCACCAAGGCGACGAUGCGUAGCCGACCUGAGAGGGUGAUCGGCCACACUGGGACUGAGACACGGCCCAGACUCCUACGGGAGGCAGCAGUAGGGAAUCUUCCACAAUGGACGAAAGUCUGAUGGAGCAACGCCGCGUGAGCGAUGAAGGCCUUCGGGUCGUAAAGCUCUGUUGUUAGGGAAGAACAAGUAYCGGAGUAACUGCCGGUACCUGAC